rnacentral:rRNA from 1 species
GGGUGCGAUCAUCCUAGCGUUAAUGCACCGGAUCCCAUCAGAACUUCGCAGUUAAGUGCGCUUGGGCUAGAGUAGUACUGGGAUGGGUGACCUACCAGGAAGUCCUAGUGUUGCACCCU